GAUCCGUAACUUCGGGAAAAGGAUUGGCUCUGAGGGCUGGGCUCGGGGGUCCCAGUUCCGAACCCGUCGACUGUUGGCGGGCUGCUUGAGCUGCUAACGUGGCGAGAGCGGACCGCCUCGUGUCGGCCGGGGGACGGACUGGGAACGGCUCUUUCGGGAGCUUUCCCCGGGCGUCGAACAGCCAACUCAGAACUGGUAC
rnacentral:ncRNA from 1 species